UCGGCAAAAACUGGCAACAGGAAACACGUCACCAUACGUCACGCUAUACUUUUGACACCGAACGUUAGCUGCCGCGAGCAUCGAAAAAAAAAAAAAGAAAGUGAACUUAAGUUAACAGGAAUUGAUUUCUUUUUUUAAUUCUUUGCCGCGAAAACUAAAACGUUUUGCGUAUAAAUGAACUUAAGCUUUGCGACUUAUUUUCCUUGCCUUACCUAGCCACAGGUCAAUGACGCGCCAGAUACAUGCGUCAUCCGCCAGACACUCCCCCGAAGCCAGCGAGGAUGGCUGCGCGCGCGUUUGAGCGCUCGCGUGCGGCGACCCGUCUCCUUCAUUCUUUUUUUUUUUUCCUUUUUAAAUGUAACCUGGUUUAUUGGGCUCUCGGCGUAUUCUUUCGUUCCUUCUGCACUGGGACAAGACACCACUGCACUAUUGGACUACGGCAAGCUGGUGCCGUCCGGUGGAGCUUCAUACAGGAACUACGGCCUUACCUGCUGGUGUCACAACGUUGGAUGAACGCACAAAAAGCGCGGAACGAGCUUUUAUAUAGAGCAAAAUAAAUAUUUCCUCUUUGCACAAAA